UUUCAGAAACCUAUAUUUUCUCCCUAAUUCUCUCCCGAGCCCAGAUUUGUUCCUCUCUCUUCCACCGGCCAUAUCUCCCUCCACAGACCUCCGAUCGACUUGAUUCCAAAAGUAUUUUCAUUCGCCUUGAAGUCAGUUAAAACUUCCUAGAAGACAUCAAAGUGAGAAAAGAACCAUGGAAGGUGCUAGGAGGCCGAGAAGCUGCACAGCUCGAGCUGGAAUUCGCCCGAUGCUGCUCUUCCUUCACCGGCCGAUAUCUCUCUCAUCCAACCUCGAAUCGAGUUGAUUCCAAAAGGGAUUUUGCUGGGCCUGAGCUAUAUUACAACUUUGUAGAAGACAUCGAGGGGAAAUAACCAACGUGGUAGCCGCUACAAGUCGAAGAACACGGUGCAGUCGAGCUGGAAAUCACCUCCUUUCCCCACCGUCGUUCUCCCUCCUCCGGCCACCUUUUGCCGUGAUUCUUGAGAGGAUUCUGUACUUCUGAGGAUGUAGAUCAUUUCCCCUAAGGUGGAUUGCAUCGAUUUCAUCUGUGGAGAUCGAAUUGGAACGAAUUCAAAACUAGGGUUCUUCGGGUUUCAAACCUUAUAAGGUGAUUGACGGUUUGAGUUAGUGGACGAUUGUGGAUCGUAUUUUGAGCGGAAUUGAAGACGCAGCGGGAUUAUCGAGCGGGUAAUCCUACAGGACAGGAGAACCAGGACGGUGAUCGUGCGGUUAGAGCAAUUGUUAGAGUUUUACAGCAAUUGUACGUUGUGAGGUGUGUUAUGCUCAUUUGAGCUUUACAAUAUUGCUUGUGAGAGUGAAUUGUAAUAAUGAACUCGAAGUUUCGAGAUUUGGAUUUUGUAAUUGUAAUUAUUCAUGUUUCGGAUUUGAAUUUAUUAUUCAAAAUUCGGGGCGU